UACGUAGGGAGCAAGCGUUGUCCGGAAUCAUUGGGCGUAAAGCGCGCGUAGGCGGCCCGGUAAGUCCGUUGUGAAAGUCAAAGGCUCAACCUUUGAAUGCCGAUGGAUACUGCCGGGCUCGAGUCCGGAAGAGGCGAGUGGAAUUCCUGGUGUAGCGGUGGAAUGCGCAGAUAUCAGGAGGAACACCAAUAGCGAAGGCAGCUCGCUGGGACGGUACUGACGCUGAGGAGCGAAAGCGUGGGGAGCGAACAGG
rnacentral:rRNA from 1 species